CUUCAUUUUACUCACCUCUCUUCAUUUUACUCACCUCCUUGAUCUUUCCUCAUUGAAGUCGAUUUAUUUAUGCACGCAGCAUGACUACCAUUGCAAUAACUGAUGCACGAUGCUAUAUUUUUGAGAACUUUGUAAAUGUCAAAUUUAGCAAUGGGAUUGCCAUUUGAUUUCUCGGACCAUUCUGACUUACUCAUAUGAUUUCUUGUUUAAGUAUGAUCACUCUGUAUACACACAGUCAAGUGGAAAGGUGUUUGAUCGUGCAUGCUCAAAAGGUUGAUCACAACAACAAAAAUGCAUCUCAUGUUGUAAAAUUUAUAAAUAUUAUCUUUACCUAUGUAAAUAAACAAUAGUCACUAUGAUAUGUGAAUGUCAUUUUAACAUUCAGUAGUGUGGUAUUCCCAUGAUUAUAUAAGAUAUA